CCUACGGGAGGCAGCAGUGGGGAAUAUUGGGCAAUGGACGCAACUCUUACGCAGCAAUGCCGCGUGAAUGAAGAAGGUCUUCGGAUCGUAAAGUUCUUUAAUCGGGGACGAAAAAAAUGACGGUACCCAAGGAAUAAGUUCCGGCUAACUACGUGCAAGCAGCCGCGGGAAUACGUAAGGGGCAAGCGUUGAACGGGAUGACUGGGCGGAAAGGGCGUGAAGGCGGGGUAGCAAGGUAGAAGGGAAAUACCCAGAGCUUAACGUAGGUGCUGCCUCUAAAACUGGUAAACUUGAGUGCAGUAGAGGAUAGUGGAAUUCCUAGUGUAGCGGUGGAAUGCGUAGAUAUUAGGAGGAACAUCAGUGGCGAAGGCGACUUUCUGGACUGUAACUGACGCUGAGGCGCGAAAGUGUGGGGAGCAAACAGGAUUAGAUACCCUGGUAGUC
rnacentral:rRNA from 1 species